rnacentral:rRNA from 1 species
CCUACGGGAGGCAGCAGUGAGGAAUAUUGGUCAAUGGGCGCGAGCCUGAACCAGCCAAGCAGCGUGAAGGAUGACUGCCCUACGGGUUGUAAACUUCUUUUAUAAAGGAAUAAAGUGAGGCACGUGUGCCUUUUUGUAUGUACUUUACGAAUUAGGAUCGGCCAACUCCGUGCCAGCAGCCGCGGUAAUACGGAGGAUCCGAGCGUUAGCCGGAUUUAUUGGGUGUAAAGGGAGCGUAGAUGGGUUGUUAAGUCAGUUGUGAAAGUUUGCGGCUCAACCGUAAAAUUGCAAUUGAUACUGGCAGCCUUGAGUACAGUAGAGGUAGGCGGAAUUCGUGGUGUAGCGGUGAAAUGCGUAGAUAUCACGAAGAACACUGAUUGCGAAGGCAGCUUACUAAACUGCCACUGACGUUGAUGCUCGAAAGUGUGGGUAUCAAACAGGAUUAGAUACCCGUGUAGUC